rnacentral:lncRNA from 1 species
AGCAAAAGUUCAUCAAAGAUGGAAGAAAAAUGAAAAAGGACAAAGAAGCUGGAAAUAAAAGGAAAAGCUGAAAAUAAAACAUAAAACGGAAAUAUGAUCGAUCAUCAGUAGGAAAAUAGAUUCACAUCUACAACCUUAGCAAGUUGUGUUUCGAUGUGUCCUAAGAUUUUUUCCAUUGAUCAUCACUGGAUCGAUCAUCAUCUGCUAAAAAAUUAAACAAAUACUUUCAAGAAUUAAGAGAAAUAGUGCAAGCAAAAUAGAAGGCAGAUCAAGUGAACCUCCAUAGAAUUUGCAACUCUAGCUGAUGAAACUUUCGAGCUUUCGGUUGCAAAAUUAUGUAAAUGCAUACACACAUGGAUUAACG